CUCUCCUGCUCUGUAUUCUCUGCCUUUUCUUAUCUUCCUGUACAGCAACUUACAGGCUCUUCCUACAGCCUGACUACCAGUUACUGAGAUGAGAACAGUGACAUUUUCUUCUUCAUUAGCUGUUUGUGAAAUCUAAAUAAGCAAUGUUUUGUUCAUCAUUGGGCCUUACUUUAUGACAUGCAGAGUGGUCUUCCGUAGACGGAGCGCCUGAGGGACUGUAAUGGAACUACAUAAAGCAGUCAACAUAGGAUGCUGCCCAGCUCCAAGUGCAGUUGGUGAAGGAGGGAGAAAUCGUCCAAAAUACUGCUGAACAAUGCUCCCAAGCAGUUGAUUUAAAUAGGCCCCCCGAGCUUGGGACUGACAACAUAUAAAGGACAGGCCCUGUGAAAGAUAAAAAAAGAGAGAAGGAAAUUGAAUAAAUCCUUGUUAUUGAACAAAUUCAAGAACAGUAGGCUAAAUACUCAUUACACACUCUAUAAACUACUGCUGCACAAAUAACUACUGCAUGACAAAGAAGUAUCAGCAAUUUGCUGCACCUGUCAACAAACCAUCAGGUCUAUGGCUAAAGACAGAGUUAGCACAAGGCUUAUAAAGGAGAGAAAAAUCUUAUACUGGACUAAUAUACUUGAAAGAUAAUCUUAGGGCCACACAAUCUUCUUUUCAAAUCUGAAAUAAAACAUUAGCUUUUCAUGCCAGGGUUCAGUGCCCAAAAGCUACAAACUUCUUUUUCACUUAUGUACAUGGUCUAAUGAAGCUAGAAUAGUGGCAUAACAAAAAUUUUGCUCAUAGCAUGAACAAGUUAGAGUAAAUAAGGCACCAUUUGUAAGAGAUUUAUUUUUUUUAAAAAAAAUCAUUUAGAUAAAGGUAAAACUCGUGUGACUUACCCGAUAUAAUCUAUAUCAAUGCAGAAAAAUCUAGGAAAGUAGAAACUUGCCUAAAAAAGUGACAACAUAAACACUACCCAUAGUUACACAGCGUAUAUAUGUAGAUGUUACAUCUGUGGGAAAAUAAGUAUUUCUUUUUGUGGUAAAAGGGUCUAUGAGAAAAAGUUAAGAAUUUACUCCCCAUUUCUCAGGUUACUGAAAGGAGGAAGAAGAACGAAUCACUAAGGGAAGGAAGAAAAAGAGAAGCCCAGUUAUCUCCUAUGACAAGGACCUUGGUGUUGGAUGGGAACAGAAGUAACCUGAAAAAGAAGGGAAGGAUUAAAUUUAAUAACAACACCUUGCCACAAGCCAAAGAUGCUCUUGUUUGCCAGAGAGAAAAUAAAAGCAUUGUGAUGCUUGUGAUUAUUUUUUUAAUCAUGUGAUGAGGAUAAAGAGUACCCUUGAUACUCAAUAAGGAGAACUGUUGAUGGAAAUCCUCUUCAUUCUGUAGGUUCCUUUUUGGUGGGUCAGGCAGAGAUGCUGCCUCUUAAAAAAGCAUAAUUUUCAAAAUCAUGUAGUACUACCAACAUCUCUCCUCAGUAAGGAGGAGUCUCAUUUUAUUUUCCAUGCUACACAUCAGAAAUUACAAGUUUAGCAUUAAAUUGUUCCAAGAUAGAAAUUCUUUCUUCCAAAUUAAAACAAUGAGAAAAAUUACCUAUUUUGUGUGUAGCCAGAGCUCCCCUUCCCCAAAAUAUACACUUCCAUAUGCUUAAAAAAAUAAUCACAAAUCAGCCCCUGCAUAUUAGAGAACAUUUACAGCACCAAACCUCUUCAGGCAAGAAUCAUCAGAUGAUUAGGCACCCACACUUCUAUCGUUCAUUGAAAGUUUCCAUAGAUGAACUUGGAUUUCUCUUUUGGACAUGAAAGCUCACUGAUUUAAGCUCAAUACUGUGCUCCUUAUUUUGGUAUCCUCCUUUUUCUUACAAAGCCUAGAGAGCAGCAGACCUGCACAAGGCUUAACACCACCAUAUCCCAAGUGGCACCAGGGAUAAACUACCAAUGUCUCACGGUGGCUGUGAGUCUCCAAGUACAAUGGCAAACUACCCUAGGCAGCGUUGGCCAAGGGUGCAAUUACAAGGAGGUCACAGAGUACUCUCUUCUUUUAAAUCCCACUAGUAAUUAACAGAGAUGAAGGAAGCUACUGUUCAUAUGACAGAGGAAAGAAACACAUGCUACUGGACUGUAAUUCUGGACCUCAGAUCUGAAAAUAAUCACAUCAGACCCUUAGGACAAUCCCCAGAAAGCAGAUGGACAUUAAAGAGUUGAGAGCACUUCUCUCUCCCUCUUUUUUUUUUUUUUUAAUUAACUGUGUUUUUUAGUUAUCUUCUGAGAUUAAAGAAAGAAAAACAACAAAAACAAAACCCCACCAAAAACUAAAGACAUUUUAAGAGGAGUAGAGGAGCAUGACAACAUCUGCUCCUCAUUUCAACAGAAAGGCAACUGAUUCCUGUGUAUGCUCACUGCAGGAACCUUUUGUAGCCAGAGCUGCCUCUCUUCUGAUUUAUCCAUAUAUCUGUAAAUCACCUGUGGAGAGCGAAGAACCGAUUAGUAUGGAUUACUGGAACUAUUCACUGCAGAAAUGCCAAGCUACCUAAUGAUGACUUAUAAUAUCGGUCCUGCUGUUGGAAUAAAUCUGCUGUUCACCAAUUAAUGUUGUACAAUUCCUAUUAAACACAUACUAUAAUUCACAA